UUUUUUUUUUUUUCUUUUGGCCUCACCUGUGGCAUGAGGAACUUCCCAGGCCAGGGAUUGAACCCCUGCCACAGCAGUGACCUCAGCCACUUCACUGACAACACUGGAUCCUUAACCUGCUGCACCAUCAGGGAACUCCAGGAAAUUUUUUUUUUUGGUCUUUUUGCCUUUUCUAGGGCGGCUCCUGUGACAUAUGGAGGUUCCCAGGCUAGGGGUCGAAUCAGAGCUGUAGCUGACGGCCUACACCACAGCCACAGCAACGCUAGAUCCGAGCUGCAUCUGUGACCUACACCACAGCUCAUGGCAACACUGGAUCCUUAACCCACUGAGCGAGGCCAGGGAUCAAACCCGCCACCUCAUGGUUCCCAGUCGGAUUCGUUAACCACUGUGCCACAAUGGGAACUCCUCCAGGAAUUUAAAAAAAAAAGAAAGAAAACCCUCAUUUUACCUUUAUUGCUCUCGUUAAAGAGGUCCUGACAUUUUCAGAGCAAACACCAAAACUUAUGUGAGUGAUACAGUAUUUGGUAAGAAUGUUCAGACAUGAAAAUACAUAAGUGAUGUAUUUAUCAUAUGAUCCAUUAUUUGUUUUUGGAGGAAUUUUUAGCAGUUUUCUUUGAAAGGCCUAGGGAUAGAGUGGUAAACAUCAGUGCAGAUAGCCUGUAGGACUUUUAAUGGAUGUAAUAAUUAUGAAGAAUUCAUUUCCAGUAGGAAAUGGUCCCUUGUUCAUUGAUGGGGAAGACAGCGUGAGCCAAGUAGGAGGUGGAAAUACCUCCUCUCUACAGAUGCACCAAAAAUGGUGGCUACCACUAGGGGCCAUAUCUGGGGUGGAACUGAGCCGAAGAGCCCCCUGAGUGGCAUGUGUAGAUGAAGAGCUGUAUGUAAGAGGCCAGAGUGUCCUCGUGUCAAUGGGUAGUGGCUCUGCUUCUUAGGGAGAGAGAAUAGUGUCUUAAUGUCAUUUCUUAUAAGUGCUUUGCUAUUAAAUCAUUAAUUAUAGAUCCAGAUCUCCCUCUGGUCCCAAGACUAUAAUGAAUUGCAGGUGAGGACCAGGCAAAUGUCAUCAUCUCAGGUGUGAGAGGACCCUCCUGGGGGAGUAGAUUUACCAGGAUUCGAAUCCUUCAGUGGCUUUGUUCCGUCGGAUGCACUGAUUACCAAUGAGACACUUCUAUGCGUGUUGAUACAGGAAAGAGCUGUAGUUACCAGUGCGGGUAUUGGGGGUGGGGACAGCAGACCAGCCUCACAGCACUGUUUUCUCUCUGUCCUCUUUUCUCAGGAUUUUCUGGGACUAAAAAGGAAAAUAUUUUUCUGAUAGUUUGGCAGAACACUUAAUUAGAGGUGAUAAUGCAAAGUUAUCACAGCAGCUCUGUGCAUUCGGAUGAUGAGUUGGACUUAACAUAUUUAAUGGUACUUGCUCACCAGCUGUUUAGUGAUUAGAGAACAAUAUACUGAACAUGGCACACAAACAAACAAAUGUAUAGUGUCACUCUUUGAAAACUGAAUAGGCUGAAGUUAGACUGCAUAUAAUUGCUACACAACCCAAACUGAGCAUGUAGGGUCCCUGCAGAGAUGGACAACCUUGUCAGGAGCAUCUGCCAGCCUGAGCUGACAUUUGGGGCUCCCCAUGGAAUGGCUUGCAGCUGAGUCUGACCAUUGGCAAGCAGUAGGUGAGUUGAUCUGUUCAGUCAGAAUUGGUUGAUGUAGGAGCUCCCUGGUGGCUCAGUGGGUUAAGGACCAAGCAUCGUCACUGCUGUGGCUCUGCUUACUGCUGUGGUGGGGGUCCCAUCCCGGGUUGGGGAACUUCUGCAUGCUGAAUUUCUCAAGUGUAUUUAUUUUCCCCCUUCAUACAGACAAAACCUCUAAAUUCAUUGUGUUGAAUUUUCUUAACCUUUAAUCACUUGUGUUUGAUAUCACGUCUUCAUAGCUGGUUUCCUACUUACUCAGUUUCUUUCAUCUUCAAUCUUCUUAGACUUUAAGAGAGACAGUUACUUCAUCUUUCCUUUGAUCUUCACCUGGUGGGUGUGUCAGCUGUGUCCAUCAGUUUCACCAACCUGUUUCUAUGAAACACUAGAUAAAAUGUUUAAUCUAUUAUGCCAGGGCCUAUGGAUUAUAAAAAAAUAGCAGGCUGGUUUGAUUUUUAAAAACUGUGCUCUGUGCUUUAUGGGAAAAAAAUCAGUAAAGCUGGUUCUUUAUCUUAAUAAAACCUGACACAUGGUCGCUUGCCUUUUUAGAUUUUUUUUUUCUUCCAUUUUGGCUGCUCUGCUGCUUAUGGAGUUCCUGGGCCAGGGAUCAUAUCUGAGCCGCAGUUGUGACCUCAGCCACAGCUGUGGCAAUGCCAGAUUGUUAACCCACUGUGCUGGCCAGGGUUGAACCUGCGUCCCAGUGCUCCCAAGAUGCCACCAAUCCCAUAGCGCCAUGGCACAAACUCCACCUUUUUAGUUUUCAGUUGGCUCUAUGGGUAUCAUAGUCUGCUUCUGAGACUCAGCUAUGCAAGGGCUUCGCGUUUUAUAUGUAUCCAUGAAGAUGGGGGCUUGAUCCCUGGCCUCGCUCAGUGGGUUAAGGACCCGGUGUUGCCACAAGCUGCAGUGUAGGUUGCAGUCACAGCUCGAAUCUUUCGUUGCUGUGGCUAUGGUAUAGGUUGGCAGCUGCAGCUCCGAUUUGAUCCCUAGCCUGGGAACUUCCAUGUGCCGUGAGUGUGCCUG
rnacentral:lncRNA from 1 species